rnacentral:lncRNA from 1 species
UAAAAGCAUGUUCCUUGGUAGCUCACCAGUUGGGACAUCCUAAGAUUUAAAAACAGGCCAAAAAGUUUUUUUUACCACUUAGAAAAUCUUUAAUGACUUUUUUUAUUAAAAAGAUUCAACAGUUUAGGGCAUAUUGACAGCUUAUUGCAUUUAUUUACUGAUUUUCAUUUACCCCUUCAUCAUACGAAAAUUUUAAUGCUUCAUUAUUUUUUGACUAAGUAAUCUAUUUUGUUAGUUAUACAAAAUGAAAAAUGAACAUUUUAUUAACAUACAAGAUCUUUAUUAUAUUUUUUACUAAUUAAUCUAUUUUGUUAGAUAUAUAAAAUAAUAAUAAACAUUUUAUUAACAUACAAAACCUUUUAUUAAUUCUUUUCCUAAUUAAUAUCUUUCUCUCUCUCUCUCUCUCUCNNNNNNNNNNNNNNUAUAUAUAUAUAUAUAUAUAUAUAUAUAUGUUUUCAGUUUUCCUUCGUAAGAGUAUCCCUUCAAAACUAGAUCUAAUAUUUGUUUUCAGUUUUCUUUCAUAGUCGUCUGAUAUAGAUAAACAUGUAAUUCUUGAUUUUAGUUCUAAGCUUCAUUGCUAUUCCAUCAAACACGUUAUUUUUUUAUCAUUUUGUAACUAAUAAAGAAAAAAUACGUUAAUUUGCAAGAAAAAUGCUCAUACAAAAAACACAUUAAGAUGAUUACCUGUUUCUUUAGUAGCUUCCAUCAAGUUUUUUAUGAAUAUCAUCCAUGUCACUCAAAACACCCAAUUCCAUAUCCUUUAAGUACCUAUAGCAGAAACUAACUCCAAAAAAUGAAAAACAUUCUUUUUUAAGAACGACACUAUAUUAAAAUAAAAAACCAAAACCACCGAGAAGCUGCAAAUUACAAAAAGGUA